rnacentral:rRNA from 1 species
UACGGAGGGUGCAAGCGUUAUCCGGAUUCACUGGGUUUAAAGGGUGCGUAGGUGGGCAGGUAAGUCAGUGGUGAAAUCUCCGAGCUUAACUCGGAAACUGCCAUUGAUACUAUCUGUCUUGAAUAUCCUGGAGGUGAGCGGAAUAUGUCAUGUAGCGGUGAAAUGCUUAGAUAUGACAUAGAACACCAAUUGCGAAGGCAGCUCACUACGGGAUGAUUGACACUGAGGCACGAAAGCGUGGGGAUCAAACAGG